rnacentral:rRNA from 1 species
AUUGAACGCUGGCGGCAUGCCUUACACAUGCAAGUCGAACGGCAGCACGGGGCAACCUGGUGGCGAGUGGCGAACGGGUGAGUAAUGCAUCGGAACGUACCUUUCAGUGGGGGAUAACGUAGCGAAAGUUACGCUAAUACCGCAUAUUCUGUGAGCAGGAAAGCAGGGGAUCGCAAGACCUUGCGCUGAUUGAGCGGCCGAUGUCAGAUUAGCUAGUUGGUGAGGUAAAGGCUCACCAAGGCGACGAUCUGUAGGGGGUCUGAGAGGAUGAUCCGCCACACUGGAACUGAGACACGGUCCAGACUCCUACGAGAGGCAGCAGUGGGGAAUUUUGGACAAUGGGGGCAACCCUGAUCCAGCCAUGCCGCGUGAGUGAAGAAGGCCUUCGGGUUGUAAAGCUCUUUCGGCCGGGAAGAAAUCGCACGGGCUAAUACCCUGUGUGGAUGACGGUACCGGAAUAAGAAGCACCGGCUAACUACGUGCCAGCCGCCGCAGUAAUAC